rnacentral:rRNA from 1 species
UCCUGGCUCAGGACGAACGCUGGCGGCGUGCCUAAUACAUGCAAGUCGAGCGGACAGAUGGGAGCUUGCUCCCUGAUGUUAGCGGCGGACGGGUGAGUAACACGUGGGUAACCUGCCUGUAAGACUGGGAUAACUCCGGGAAACCGGGGCUAAUACCGGAUGCUUGAUUGAACCGCAUGGUUCAAUUAUAAAAGGUGGCUUUUAGCUACCACUUACAGAUGGACCCGCGGCGCAUUAGCUAGUUGGUGAGGUAACGGCUCACCAAGGCGACGAUGCGUAGCCGACCUGAGAGGGUGAUCGGCCACACUGGGACUGAGACACGGCCCAGACUCCUACGGGAGGCAGCAGUAGGGAAUCUUCCGCAAUGGACGAAAGUCUGACGGAGCAACGCCGCGUGAGUGAUGAAGGUUUUCGGAUCGUAAAACUCUGUUGUUAGGGAAGAACAAGUACCGUUCGAAUAGGGCGGUACCUUGACGGUACCUAACCAGAAAGCCACGGCUAACUACGUGCCAGCAGCCGCGGUAAUACGUAGGUGGCAAGCGUUGUCCGGAAUUAUUGGGCGUAAAGCGCGCGCAGGCGGUUUCUUAAGUCUGAUGUGAAAGCCCCCGGCUCAACCGGGGAGGGUCAUUGGAAACUGGGGAACUUGAGUGCAGAAGAGGAGAGUGGAAUUCCACGUGUAGCGGUGAAAUGCGUAGAGAUGUGGAGGAACACCAGUGGCGAAGGCGACUCUCUGGUC